rnacentral:lncRNA from 1 species
AGAAGCUCUCUGAACCCCAUCAGUUAGGUUUGGAUCACAUGCUCACUCCAGAACCAAUCACAGGAGGAAGUUAUGGGGUGACCUUUUGAACUCUCAGGCCACUGAGGGACAUGGGCUGUGUCAGAAAAGGAUGGACACCUAAAUGAUAUCGUAGUUCUAUUGGAAAGGAAGAAAGGGCAGUGAAUGCUGAAGACCACCAGUAAUGCUCACUCCAGAGCUCCUGAGAAGACAUGGCUAUACAGGCUAGAGAGCGAGUUCCUCAAGGGCAGGGACUGUGCCUUCAUCUCCUUAUUUGUCCUGCUAUGUCUGAUUCUCAUACAGAAAAAUUUGUAAGAAUUCUGUAUCUCUGAAGUUAAGAAGAUUUAUCAUCAUGAACUAGGAUGGACAUGGACAUUGGGAAGAGACAUUGAAAAGGAAAAGCAAUAAGAUCUGUGAAACAAAAUGAAUUUUGGAGACUGGAAGUACCUAGUAUGGUAACCAGAAUUCAAGAUGUAUCAGAAUGAUUAUGGCACAGCAUGUAGCAAAUGCCAGAAUUUCCUCAGGAUCCAGCCAGUCUGGACUGGUCCCCACUGACUGUGGAGGAUGAUAUAAAAGAGCUGCACUCUGGAGCCUCACUACUGGGUCCCACUGUAGCACUAGCAGGACUCCAGCUAGCAAGUGCAUUGCUGCUAAGAGAGGUGUGAUCCCGUAAGAACCAUCUUCAAGAGUGACAUUGUCUGAUAUUGAAAAAACACGCAACCAUGGUCCAAUCAGACUCUUACCUUAUAGAGACUCACCCACUUGGGGUAAAGUCACUACCUAGAGUUCUCAGAUAAUAAGGUCAAGUAGGAGACUUGAGAGUAGAUCUCAGAGGGAGAAGCUGGACUGAGUACUACUAGCCCACGUGGAGGGAGACAGUAAAGUAAGCAACAGCAGUAAUAACAACAAAAAUCUAUGUAAUCAUAUUUCAUGAACGUACAGGUAUACCUCAUUUUAUAGUGCUUUGCUUGUGCUUUUAUUUGCAUUCCAGUUUUAUACAAAUCAAAGGUUUUUAGCAACCUUGCAUCAUACAAGUGAAUUGGUGGCAUUUUCCCCACAGCAUUUGCUCACUUUGUGUCUCUGUGUCACAUUUUGGUAAUUCUCACAAUAUUUCAGACUUUUUUCAUUAUUCUAAUAUUUGUUACAGAGACCUGUGAUCAGUGAUUACAGCUCACUGAAAGCACAGUUGAUGGUCAGUAUUUUUUAGCAAUGCAAUAUUUUCAAAUUAAGACUUGUACAUUUUUUACAUAUAAUGCUAUUGCAUACUUAACAGACUACAGCAGAGUGUAAAAAUAACUUUUAAAUAUUCUGGGAAACCAAAAAAUUCAUUUGACUCAUUUUAUUGCGAUGGUCUAGAACUGGAACAGUAUCUUCAUGGUAAGCCUAUACUUGAACUAAGUUUAGAAAGUAGAUUGUAUCAUUUAUUCAACAUAUAGCCCCCUAGAGGAUCUCACUCUCCUGCUCUCAAAGGCCAGCCUAGGACCAUUUGCAAGGCCACUAAAUUUCUCUCUGAUACUCUGCUGAAUAAAAACACAAACACACAUGCAGUUAAUUUUUUAUUUCUUUUCAAGCCAGACUGACUUUUUUUUUUCAACCCAUUUCUGACUCAGCUUAUAUUUAAUGGAAACCACAACAUUUUACCAAAGGCUUUCAUGCAAGAGAUCAAUCUCAGACAUAAACAGUACCAUAUUAAAAAAAUGAGACAACAUCACUGAUAAAAAUAAGAUGCCACAGUGGAUCAGAGAAGAAAUAAAGGCCUAAAUAGUCUACAGAAUUUAGUUCACCAUGUACUUAAUAACUUAAAUAAUCUAUCACCAGCCUAUCUUCUCCCCUCAAGAGACACACUGCUAGUAAAGUGUAUAAAAUUUACUAUCCUUUCUAUUCAUUCUGAAUCCAUUCUUACAAUUUGACCAGUUAAGCACGGUUGUGAUUAGCGUGUCUAGAAAUCAGAGAAGCCAAGGUCCCUAGCAAUUUUCUGAGCCUAUUUUUAUAUGUUGGGCUACCUCCACCUGGGGUAACCUUGGUCUUAAAUAAAAUUGGCUAUGAGAUAAGUGUUUGGAAAGGUACAAUAUAAAUGCCAGAAGCUAUGGGAAAAGAAUUGUAGUCAACAGAUCCAAACUGCUCUUUAGCCUAAUUGGAAGAGUAAAGAAUUAAAAGGUGGGAAUUGUAAAGGCUGUAAAUGUGGCCUCCUCAGAAACUGGCCUUUCUAAUGAUUUACUUCUAUGACUGAAAACUGAUGAAGAGCAGAAGCUAUACCAAUUUUAAAUAACAAUGGAAUAAUAAGCCUGUAUUCAGCACUCUCUAGUGUUGGACAUUGUGUUUAGUUUAUAAAUAUCCAUAUAUGUACAUAUAAAAAUUUGUGUAUGUAUGUAUGUAUGUAUGUAUGUAUUAUUUACAUGUGUAAUAUGCUGGACAUACUGGCAUUCUCAGUCUAAGCAGUAAAAACAACCCACGCACUCAACUA